AAGGUUUUAAGUUAUCAAAACUAUAAGCCUUCAAAGCUUAAAAUAAAGAACAAUCUUUAAACCUUG
rnacentral:tRNA from 1 species